rnacentral:rRNA from 1 species
UACGUAGGGACCGAGCGUUGUCCGGAAUCAUUGGGCGUAAAGAGCGCGUAGGCGGUCCGGUAAGUCCGCUCUGAAAGUCCGGGGCUCAACCCCGGGAGGCGGGCGGAUACUGUCGGGCUAGAGUCCGGAAGAGGCGAGUGGAAUUCCUGGUGUAGCGGUGAAAUGCGCAGAUAUCAGGAGGAACACCAAUGGCGAAGGCAGCUCGCUGGGACGGUACUGACGCUGAGGCACGAAAGCGUGGGGAGCAAACAGG